GGAACCUGGUUGAUCCUGCCAGUAGCAUACGCUUGUCUCAAAGAUUAAGCCAUGCAUGUCUAAGUAUAAACGACUAUACUGUGAAACUGCGAAUGGCUCAUUAUAUCAGUUAUAGUUUAUUUGAUGGUCUCUACUACUUGGAUAACCGUAGUAAUUCUAGAGCUAAUACAUGCCUCCAACCUAGACUUCGGAAU
rnacentral:rRNA from 1 species